rnacentral:rRNA from 1 species
ACUUUAAUUGAAGAGUUUGAUCAUGGCUCAGAUUGAACGCUGGCGGCAGGCCUAACACAUGCAAGUCGAGCGGCAGCGGGAAGAUAGUUUACUAUC